rnacentral:rRNA from 1 species
GAUGAACGCUGGCGGCGUGCUUAACACAUGCAAGUCGAACGAUGAAGCCCAGCUUGCUGGGUGGAUUAGUGGCGAACGGGUGAGUAACACGUGAGUAACCUGCCCUUAACUCUGGGAUAAGCCUGGGAAACUGGGUCUAAUACCGGAUAGGAGCGUCCACCGCAUGGUGGGUGUUGGAAAGAUUUAUCGGUUUUGGAUGGACUCGCGGCCUAUCAGCUUGUUGGUGAGGUAAUGGCUCACCAUGGCGACGACGGGUAGCCGGCCUGAGAGGGUGACCGGCCACACUGGGACUGAGACACGGCCCAGACUCCUACGGGAGGCAGCAGUGGGGAAUAUUGCACAAUGGGCGGAAGCCUGAUGCAGCGACGCCGCGUGAGGGAUGACGGCCUUCGGGUUGUAAACCUCUUUCAGUAGGGAAGAAGCGAAAGUGACGGUACCUGAAGAAGAAGCACCGGCUAACUACGUG